rfam:Pteropus alecto contig32476, whole genome shotgun sequence.
GUCUACGGCCAUGCCUCCAUGAACAAGUCAGAUCCUGUCUGAUCUCAGAAGCUAAGCAGAGUCAGGCCUGGUUAGUACUUGGAUGGGAGACCACCUAGGAAGACCAGGUGCUGUAGGCA